UACAGAGGUCUCAAGCGUUGUUCGGAUUCAUUGGGCGUAAAGGGUGCGUAGGUGGCGCUGUAAGUCGGGUGUGAAAUUUCGGAGCUCAACUCCGAAACUGCAUUCGAUACUGCCGUGCUCGAGGACUGGAGAGGAGACUGGAAUUCAUGGUGUAGCAGUGAAAUGCGUAGAGAUCAUGAGGAAGACCAGUGGCGAAGGCGGGUCUCUGGACAGUUCCUGACACUGAGGAGCGAAAGCGUGGGGAGCGAACAGG
rnacentral:rRNA from 1 species